CCCGGAGGGUCAGGAUGGCCGAGGCGGCCGCGAGAAAGGAAGCGGGCGGGCGCAGCAAGUCCUUAAAGGGGCAGGGUACUCUGAUGCCGGGCGAGGCAAGGCGGGGCUGGCCCGAGGGGUGCGAGCGUGGUCUCCACGCCGCGGUCGCCCAGGAGUGUGCGAUUCCCAGGCCUGACACCGCGAUAGGCAGGCCGGGAUGGCCCGGGUGGGAGCCGGUGCGCGCUUCUCCCGGGGGUGCCGGACACCCCGCGGCCCCGUGCUGCCUGCUGCCCGGCACGGACGGCACGCUAGGCCCUGGCCCUCCCUGCCCCGCUGUCCGACCCGCGCUGGUGACCGCUUCCGGAGGCGGUGAGCUCGAGGAGCCCUCGCCGUGCAGGCAGGGACCCCCUCCGGGCUCUGGCCAGGGUGCUUGCCAGGCUUUGUCCUUCAGGACGCCCCUCGCCCCUGCCCACUGAGCACUGCAGGCCAGGCUCUCCUCGUCCGGGCCCCGCGCUGGUGCGGCCCUGGUGCAGCCCAAGCCCCGAUCCGUGCCGUCCAGCCGCGCGUGUGCGCCCGUGGGUUCCCUGGGCACCCCCACCUGUGGAGGAGGACCUGGGGGUGAUCCGCCCAGCUCUCCAGUUUCUUGCACCAGGGGGUCCCCUCGGGGCCAGGCGGUGGCCUCACCCAGCGCCUUCUUGGAGCCUGUGCCUGUGUGCCCCCAACCCACAGGCUGAGUGCUACCAUCUCCUCGGACUUUUGUCUUUGCCUUUGCCUCAAGAACACCUGCCUCACCCCCAGGAUCUUGGGGGGAUGCAGAAUGGAGUGGAAACACCACGGACCUCUGCACAUGGGACCAGUACCAGAUGGAUCUGAACGCCCUCAGUAGUAUCCUUCUUAGCAGCAAAAGUGAUACCAGCCCAUACUACCAUCAGUCGGUGGUAGAUGAAUGUCUGUCCUUCAGCCAAAAAGGAGGAAAACACAGACACCCUCGAUAACACGGAUGAACCUUAAAAGGCCCUGAUAUUGCGGGGUUCCAUUGACACAAAAUGUCUGGGGAAGGCAGAUGCCUGGGGAUAGAUUAAUGGCUGCUGGUGGGGAGUGUGGCAGUCAGCACGCUAAAGCAUCAACCUGGAUGUGUCCAGAGAGGCAGUCAUGGUAUGGCAGCUGUCGCUCAAUAAUGCAGUUAUGGAAAGAGAAGAGGAAAGUGGGAAGCAUGCCGACUCGUCCUUUCUGUGCGCCUGAUCCCACGCCUGGAGGUUGCUCUGAGCAGCCUCCAGCUUGGCAGCCUCCCUGCAUCUCCUGAGGUGUGGGUUGGCCUUUCUGGUCUCCCAGCUGUUCCCAUCAGCACAUAAGCAUGCAAUUUCUCUUCGUCCCAACAGAACCCUGCUCUGCAUCCACCUUACCCCCCUAAGCCUGUUAGGAUUGUGGUGCUUUGUGCAGCAGGACUCCCCAAAAGAGCUGUGCAUUUGCCCUGCACCUCUUUCUCCUCUGACCCCUGUGUCCACCCAGUGGCCUGUGAUGUUUGUGUGGCUCAGUCACAUCUGCCUGCUUGCCUCAGCUCAAGUGAUGGGAUGUUUGUACUUCCACGUGCUCAGGCCAGUGACCUGGGGGCUGCUGGCACCCCAUGUACAACCCACUGGGGGACCCUUGCAGGCCAGCAGCUGGCCUCACACCUGUAGAGUCCACUUAUCUCACAGCAGCCAGGAAGAAACUGUCAGUGCCACCCACUGCCCACAUCUCCAGCUCUGCUGCCUCCCUCCAGCAGUCAGGCCUCCACAGAGCCCACUCUCCUACCUGGAAGGCUGCUCCCAGCCCACCCUCGCCAGCCUUGUAAUCAGCCUCUUCAUGCCCUCUCCUUAGGCAGCUCCACUUCAUUCUGCAGUGCUCAGACUCCAUCACACAAGGCUCAUAAUUUUUUUUUUCUUUUUGCCCUUAAAACAUACAGUCCAUGAGAACUGGGGUCUUUAUUUUGUUUCAUGAGGUCAGGCACAGAGUACCUGCUCAAUAUUGAAUGCUGAAUAAAUAGAAUUAGCCCAAAUGAAUGUGUUGAGAUCUAAAGGAUAUUGUAGAGGAACCAACCAGGACUUUAGAGAUGAGGAAACCCAGCAGGACACACACAAACCCAUCCAAGGCACGGCAGGACCACAACAUGGAAAGGCAGUGAUGAAAAGCAGUGGAAGAGAAAACUCAUUAUACAAAUAGUUACAAAGAUAAGAAAGGGAACAGCAGACUUCUUGGUCACAACACCAUAAGCUUGAAGACAAUGGCACGAAAUUUUUAUUUUAUUUUAUUAUUUAUUUAUUUGACAGACACAGCAUGAGAGAGAACACAAGCAAGGGGAGUGGGAGAGGGAGAAGGAGAUUUCCCACUGAGCAGGGAGCCGGAUGCAGGGCUUAAUCCCAAGACCCUGGGAUCAUGACCUGAGCCAAAGGGAGAUGCUUAAUGACUGAACCACUCAGGCACCCUUGGCAUAAAAUCUUUAACAUACUAAAAGAAAAAACUAAAAAAAUUGUCAACCUGGAUUGUAUAUGCCUUGAAUUAUCCUUCCCAACCUGAAUUAGAUUGAAAUAGAACACUUUCAGACCAAGAAAAGCUGAGUGAAUUCAUUGCCAGCAGGUCUGCAUGGAAGCAUACAGUAAAUUCUUUAAAUGAGGAAAAUGCUAGCAGAUGCAAACUUAGAUCUAUAGAAGCAGUGAAGAGUGCUGUAAUUGGCAAACAUGGGUAAAUAUAUCUAUUUUGUUUUAAAUUUCUUUUCUAAAUCAUUGGUUGCUGAAAGCAUAAAAAGGUAUUGCAAGGUACGGAAUACAGAAUGUCUGUAGAAGUAAAUACGUGGCCACAGUGGGGUACAAAGGGCAGGAGAGAGGCAGUAAGUUUCUGAUUCUUAUCAUAUUUGAAGGCACUUGUGGUCAGUUAAAGAGGUAUACUGAACUAGAGCAACUACAGACAUACAGCUAAGAAGUCAAUGGAGACAAAAUAACUUUUAGUCUAAAUUUAGAUAGAAGGUAAAGACAGAAAAAAUAACAGAAGACAAGCCGGACAAAUGGAAAAAGAGUAACAAAUCCAGCAAUAAUAAUCACGUUAAAUAUCAGUAGUCUAGACACUUGCUCAAUUGAAAGGCAGUGAUUGUCCAGUUGGAUUAAAAAGACCCACAUGUAUGCUCUCUACAAGAAACAGACUUCAAAUUUAAGACUUGGGUUGGAAGCAAAAGGAUCAAGAAAGAACUAACAUACAAACACUCAACGGGAGGGCCAGAGUGGCUGGGCCAGGACAAGGUGGACUUUAUUUGACAGACAGA